AUUUAUUUCUUACCAUCCUGGAAGCUGGGAAGUCCAAAGCUGAGGCACUUGUAUCUGGUGAAGGCCUUCUCAAUGUGCCAUUCCAUGGUUGAAAGGUGUAAUACAGCAAUACAGACAUCAUGAGAGCAAACUCAUGGCCUCAAGCUCCUCCAUAACCAGGUGUUUAAGGAUGUCAUUGGGUAGCAGUAUGCUCCCUAGGACUGAAAGAUGACGAUGUGACUUGCUAGAAGAGGGAAGAGUGAAUGAUUGACAGUGAGCAGAGCGAGGCCAGUGAGACUGGGAGAUUUUCAGUGGAUCACACAUUCUGAAAUCGGCAUGAGCUCCAAUAUAUUUUGAAAAGCAUACACGGGAGGAGAGAUGUUGCUAUGAUCAAAGGGAGGCAAAAGAAUGGUUCGCAAUACUUUGUCCCCUGCAGACUCACUGAGCCUCAUGUAAAUGACUUUCAGGAACAUGGACAAUUGAACACUGAAUCUGCG
ensembl:lncRNA